GGAAAAGAAACUAACAAGGAUUCCCCGAGUAGCGGCGAGCGAAACGGGAAGAGCCCAGCACUGAAUCCUACGUGUCAGACACGGUGGAAAUGUAGUGUGUGGGAGGAUCGCUUAUCACCGGCGGGGACCCCGUCCAAGUCCGUCUUGAAAGCGGCCACAGCCCACAGAGGGUGCCAGGCCCGUAGGACGGUGGUGGAUCCUGCCGGUAAAGAUCUCUCCCCAGAGUCGAGUUGCUUGAGAGUGCAGCUCUAAGUGGGUGGUAAACUCCAUCUAAGGCUAAAUAUGACCACAAGACCGAUAGCGAACAAGUACCGUGAGGGAAAGUUGAAAAGCACUUUGAAGAGAGAGUUCAAGAGUACGUGAAACCGUUAAGGGGUAAACGAAUGAUAUCUGGAAAAUCGAAGCGAGAGAUUCAAACCGUUAGUCGUGCGCCCGCCGGCGUCCGCGAUCUUCUGAGUCCCCCGUGCGCGGCAGCAAUGCUCGCCGGUCGGUGAUAUACAGUACGUCACGCGGGCGUCGCCAACGGGCGUCGACAUCGGUCUGCACUUUUCUCGUGGUAGUACGCCGCGACUCGUUGGGUGCGCGUCUUAAGGCCCACGCGUGGAGCCGGCACUAGUUGCUCGCGUUUCGCUUGCACACGGGGCCGACCGCGAGGUGACCCGGCGCGCUUGCCCGACGGUGGAAAAGCGAUACGACAAAAGUCGAGCGGCCCGCGAGGGCGGCUCGAUGGCUUUAACUAGCACGUUCUCGCGUCCGCGGUGCUCCAUUCAGAGUCCAUUCGACCCGUCUUGAAACACGGACCAAGGAGUCUAACAUGUACGCGAGUCAUUGGGACUCACGAAACCUAGAGGCGAAAUGAAGGUAAAUGCCGGCCGCCUCGGCGGCCGGCACAGGGGUGAUGUCGCGUCUCGAGAUUAUUCGACAGACCGGCCGCAACCCCGGGGCGUCUCGUUGUCAUUGCGACACAGUAGGCGCACCUAAAGCGCACACGUUGGGACCCGAAAGAUGGUGAACUAUGCCUGGCCAGGUCGAAGUCAGGGGAAACCCUGAUGGAGGACCGUAGCGAUUCUGACGUGCAAAUCGAUCGUCAGAGCUGGGUAUAGGGGCGAAAGACUAAUCGAACCAUCUAGUAGCUGGUUCCCUCCGAAGUUUCCCUCAGGAUAGCUGGUGUCCGAGGUAUAUCCGAUUUGGAGUUACCUUUGGCGGGACCGAAAGGCCGCGCCAUCGGGUUUGCCAACCAGUCUCAUCUGGUAAAGCGAAUGAUUAGAGGCCUUGGGGUCGAAACGACCUCAACCUAUUCUCAAACUUUAAAUGGGUGAGAUCCUCGACUUGCUUAAGUGCGCUGUCGUUGAAGUCGAUCCCGCAGGAUGAACGGACACCUAGUGGGCCAAUUUUGGUAAGCAGAACUGGUGCUGUGGGAUGAACCAAACGUCGAGUUAAGGCGCCUAAAUCGAUGCUCAUGGGAUACCAUGAAAGGCGUUGGUUGCUUAAGACAGCAGGACGGUGGCCAUGGAAGUCGGAAUCCGCUAAGGAGUGUGUAACAACUCACCUGCCGAAGCAACUAGCCCUGAAAAUGGAUGGCGCUCAAGCAUCGUGCCUAUACUCGACCGUCACAGGCAAUGAGAGAGCCGCUCGCGGCAAGCAAAGUAUGCCGUGACGAGUAGGAGGGCGCGACGGUGAGCGCAGAAGUGCUGGCCGCGAGGCCGCAUGGAGCCGCCGUCGGCGCAGAUCUUGGUGGUAGUAGCAAAUACACUAGCGAGGUCCUGGUGGUCUGAGGUGGAGAAGGGUUUCGUGUGAACAGUUGUUGCACACGAGUCAGUCGAUCCUAAGCCCCAGGAGAAAUCCUUGUUGAUGCGUUGUCGAAUAGUUUGUUACACAGCUACACGGCUUAUCUAGCACUAGCAAGCAUGACCGCAUCGGGCGAAAGGGAGUACGGUUCCCAUUCCGUAACCCGGCAGCGGAACCGAGACGCGGGUCAUCUGCAGCAAUGCAGACUCGUCGGGGUGACCCAAAAGGACUCGGAAACGUCGUCGAAUGAUCGCGGCAGAGUUAUCUGUUCUGUAUGAGCGUCCAUGUUCCCUGGAAUCGCCAAGCGCGAAGAUAGGGUUUGGAUCGCGAAGAGUACCGCACUUGCGCCGGUAUCACGAUCAUUCCGUCGAACCUUGAAAAUCCGGAAGAGGGCCACGUGAAAGUAUCGCGCCGGCUCGUACCCAUU
rnacentral:rRNA from 1 species